rnacentral:rRNA from 1 species
GACGAACGCUGGCGGCGUGCCUAAUACAUGCAAGUUGAGCGAUGAAGAUUGGUGCUUGCACCCAUUUGAAGAGCAGCGAACGGGUGAGUAACGCGUGGGGAAUCUGCCUUUGAGCGGGGGACAACAUUUGGAAACGAAUGCUAAUACCGCAUAAUAACUUUAAACAUAAGUUUUAAGUUUGAAAGAUGCAAUUGCAUCACUCAAAGAUGAUCCCGCGUUGUAUUAGCUAGUUGGUGAGGUAAAGGCUCACCAAGGCGAUGAUACAUAGCCGACCUGAGAGGGUGAUCGGCCACAUUGGGAGUGAGACACGGCCCAAACGCCUACGGGAGGCAGCAGUAGGGAAUCGUCGGCAAUGGACGAAAGUCUGACCGAGCAACGCCGAGUGAGUGAAGAAGGUUGUCGGAUCGGAAAACUCUGUUGGUAGAGAAGAACGUUGGUGAGAGUGGAAAGCUCAUCAAGUGACGGUAACUACCCAGAAAGGGACGGCUAACUACGUG